rnacentral:rRNA from 1 species
GGGGGACAACCUCGGGAAACCGAGGCUAAUACCGCAUAACGUUAUGCUUUCGCAUGUUAGCAUAACCAAAGGGGGGGAUCUUCGGACCUCCCGCCUGAAGAGAGGCCCGCGCCUGAUUAGCUAGUUGGUAGGGUAAUGGCCUACCAAGGCGAUGAUCAGUAGCCGGUCUGAGAGGAUGGCUGGCCACACUGGGAUUGAGAUACGGCCCAGACUCCUACGGGAGGCAGCAGUCUAGAAGCUUCGGCAAUGGGCGAAAGCCUGACCGAGCGACGCCGCGUGCAGGACGACGGUCUUCGGAUUGUAAACUGCUUUCGACAGGGAUGAACGGUAGGGAAGUUAAUAACUUCUUUAUUUGACAGUACCUGGAGAAGAAGCCCCGGCUAACUCCGUGCCAGCAGCCGCGGUAAUACGGAGGGGGCAAGCGUUGUUCGGAUUUAUUGGGCGUAAAGCGCGUGUAGGCGGUAGAGUAAGUCGAAUGUUAAAGACCCACGGCUCACCCGGGGGAAUGCGUCCGAUACUGCUUUACUUGAGUGCGGGAGAGGAAAGUGGAAUCCCUGGUGUAGCGGUGAAAUGCGUAGAUAUCAGGAGGAACACCGGUGGCGAAGGCGGCUUUCUGGCCCGCAACUGACGCUGAGACGCGAAAGCGUGGGGAGCGAACGGGAUUAGAUACCCCGGUAGUCCACGCCGUAAACGUUGGAUACUAGGUGUGGGAGGUUUUCUACCCCUUCUGUGCCGUAGCUAACGCAUUAAGUAUCCCGCCUGGGGAGUACGACCGCAAGGUUGAAACUCAAAGGAAUUGACGGGGGCCCGCACAAGCGGUGGAGCAUGCGGUUUAAUUCGACGCAACGCGAAGAACCUUACCAGGACUUGACAUCACCGUAAGGUACCGUGCCUUCCUGGAAACAGGAGGGAUUAGGUAGACAGGUGUUGCAUGGCUGUCGUCAGCUCGUGUCGUGAGAUGUUGGGUUAAGUCCCGCAACGAGCGCAACCCUUAUUAUGAGUUGCUAUCAGUUCGAAUGGGAACUGUAAGAGAACAGCCGGUGUCAAACCGGAGGAAGGUGGGG